UACGUAGGGUGCGAGUGUUGUCCGGAAUUACUGGGCGUAAAGAGCUCGUAGGUGGUUUGUCGCGUCGUCCGUGAAAACUUGGGGCUCAACCCCAAGCUUGCGGGCGAUACGGGCAGACUUGAGUACUGCAGGGGGAGACUGGAAUUCCUGGUGUAGCGGUGAAAUGCGCAGAUAUCAGGAGGAACACCGGUGGCGAAGGCGGGUCUCUGGGCAGUAACUGACGCUGAGGAGCGAAAGCGUGGGUAGCAAACAGG
rnacentral:rRNA from 1 species